rnacentral:snRNA from 1 species
AAUGUGAAGGCGAUCUGGCUGUGAAAUCUGUCACCCUACUGAUUGCCAGGGUUCAUUUGCCUGAUCUGGCUGGUAAAGAGAUUGUCCCCUUUCUCCUUCACCAUUU